AUGUCAGAAGAGGGUGCCGGAUAUCUCAGGACUGGAGUUAUAGAUGGUUGUGAAUCUCCAUGUGGGUGCCGGAAACUGAACCCAGAGCCUCUGCAAGAGCAGCCAGUGCUCUUAGCCUCUGGUCCCCUCUCCGGCCCUUUCAUCUUCUUUUUUGACACAGGAAACACAUCUUGUUUUUUUUUUUUUUCUCAUCUCAGAGAAACAGAUGCUCAGUGAGCCAGGACAGCCUGGCUGACAGUGAGCUCUGGAGAUCUGCCUGUGUGUCCCCAACCCCCAUUUUGCGGUUCUGGGGUUGCAGAUGUGCCUGGCUUUAUGGCGAUGGAGUUCUCAUGCUGUGUGGCAGACAGGACUUCAAGGGUGCUCGCUAGGAAGACUGUGGAGAAUGAAAGGCCAAGGCUGGGGUGACGGACUGGCUUCAUCUCCCUGAAGGAGCUGUGGGUCGGAUGUGAGAGACGAGGGAGGCAUUGUGCUAAUGGACACAGGACAGAAAGGCUUGGCUGUGCCACACGGGAGCAGGGAGAAGAGCGAGCGGUAAGUACGCGGUAACUACGCUGGUUCAGGACUUCCGUCUAUAUUCCCACAUACUGCCGAUUUGGUGUACAACUGAAAGGCCGGCUCAGAAAGCUUUCUGUUGGUGUCCGUCAGCACUGAACUUGCUUUCGUCCAUUGCACCAUGAUCCAUCUCUGGGGCUGUACCCAAGACAGACAAGCACCCAAGUUUACCGAAAGAAUCUCUGAGAGGUUGGCACCCAGCACCUCCAAGCUAAGAACAACCACCCAGGUGCCCACCUGCAGCAGGAAGAAAUGAGUGCACCCUGAUGUGUCUAUACCAUGUGACACCGCACAGCAGAGGAAUGAACGUUGCUGUAUACACAUGGAGUGGGCGCAUCUCACGUACACGCUGAGAAAAAUAAGCUGAGGACAUCCUGCACCGGAAUAUGCAGUUCUGGAAUGGACUGGAAGGAAUCGAGGGGGAGAAAAGUCCUCACAAUUUUGGCAGCAGGAGUCUGAAAGGAAGCAAGAGGGAGCUCCCCAUGUGUGGGACGUGGUCUGGUGAAUAGAAGCACAUUUAUAAAUUCAUUCACUUAGUACCUGCGCAUUUACGGAAUGUAAGUUAUACUUCUGGGUAGAGUCAAAAUAAGAAGCAAAAAGGACUCCCAGAGAACGAAGUCAGGAGCUGCCCAGCCAGAAAGGCUGGGGACUGAUUUCUGGAGGAGGGGGCCACAUGUGCAAAGGCCCUGUGGCAGGAGUACAUGAUGGUGUUGCUUCUGGACUCUGGAUUCAUUGAUGGCACCACUAUGACUUGCUUUUUUGCUUUUCGUUUUUUUGAGACAGGGUUUCUCUGUGUAGCCCUGGCUGUCCUGGAACUUGCUCUGUAGUCCAGGCUGGCCUCGAACUCGGAGAUCUGCCUGCUUCUGUCUCCCGAGUGCUGGGAUUAAAGCUGGC
rnacentral:lncRNA from 1 species